rnacentral:rRNA from 1 species
AACGAACGCUGGCGGCAUGCCUAACACAUGCAAGUCGAACGAGAUCUUCGGGUCUAGUGGCGCACGGGUGCGUAACGCGUGGGAAUCUGCCCUUUGGUUCGGAAUAACAGUUGGAAACGACUGCUAAUACCGGAUGAUGACGAAAGUCCAAAGAUUUAUCGCCAGAGGAUGAGCCCGCGUAGGAUUAGCUAGUUGGUGUGGUAAAGGCGCACCAAGGCGACGAUCCUUAGCUGGUCUGAGAGGAUGAUCAGCCACCCUGGGACUGAGACACGGCCCAGACUCCUCGGGGAGGCAGCAGUGGGGAAUAUUGGACAAGGGGCGAAUGCCUGAUCCAGCCAUGCCGCGUGAGUGAUGAAGGCCUUAGGGUUGUAAAGCUCUUUUACCCGGGAUGAUAAUGACAGUACCGGGAGAAUAAGCUCCGGCUACUCCGUGCCAGCCGCCGCAGUAA